GGUAAAAUGGCUGAAGAAAAAGCAUUAGACUGUAAAUCUAAAGAUAAAGGUUGCACUCCUUUUUUUACCA
rnacentral:tRNA from 1 species